UAAGGAAUAUUGCGCAAUGGGCGAAAGCCUGACGCAGCGACGCCGCGUGGAGGAUGAAGGUCUUCGGAUUGUAAACUUCUGUUAAGUGGGAAGAAAAAGCUGUUUUUAAUAGAAGCAGUUAAUGACGGUACCAUUAAAGAAAGCACCGGCUAAACUCGUGCCAGCAGCCGCGGUAAUACGAGUGGUGCAAGCGUUAUUCGGAAUCAUUGGGCGUAAAGGGUGUGUAGGCGGUAUGUUAAGUCUGUUGUUAAAGCCUCCGGCCUAACCGGAGAUAGGCAGCGGAAACUGGCGUACUAGAGGGUGGAAGAGAGAAGCGGAAUUCUCGGUGUAGCGGUAAAAUGCGUAGAUAUCGAGAGGAACACCGAUGGCGAAGGCAGCUUCUUGGUCCAUUCCUGACGCUGAAACACGAAAGCGUGGGGAGCAAACA
rnacentral:rRNA from 1 species